rnacentral:rRNA from 1 species
UACGUAGGUGGCAAGCGUUGUCCGGAUUUAUUGGGUUUAAAGGGUGCGUAGGCGGCCUAUUAAGUCAGUUCUGAAAUAUCCCGGCUUAACCGGGAGGGUGGGAUUGAUACUGAUGGGCUUGAGUGGAAUCGAGGUAGGCGGAAUUGACGGUGUAGCGGUGAAAUGCUUAGAUAUCGUCAAGAACACCGAUAGUGUAGACAGCUUACUAGACUUCAACUGACGCUGAGGCACGAAAGUGUGGGGAUCAAAC